ACGGUAGAGGGGCAACCCUUGAGAGUGGCGAACGGGUGAGUAAUAUAUCGGAACGUGCCCAGUCGUGGGGGAUAACGCAGCGAAAGCUGCGCUAAUACCGCAUACGAUCUAUGGAUGAAAGCGGGGGACCGCAAGACCUCGCGCGAUUGGAGCGGCCGAUAUCAGAUUAGGUAGUUGGUGGGGUAAAAGCCCACCAAGCCGACGAUCUGUAGCUGGUCUGAGAGGACGACCAGCCACACUGGGACUGAGACACGGCCCAGACUCCUACGGGAGGCAGCAGUGGGGAAUUUUGGACAAUGGGCGCAAGCCUGAUCCAGCAAUGCCGCGUGCAGGACGAAGGCCUUCGGGUUGUAAACUGCUCUUGUACGGAGCGAAACGGUCCGGGUUAAUACCCUGGGCUAAUGACGGUACCGUAAGAAUAAGCACCGGCUAACUACGUGCCAGCAG
rnacentral:rRNA from 1 species